rnacentral:rRNA from 1 species
GGACUACCGGGGUAUCUAAUCCUGUUCGCUCCCCACGCUUUCGUGCCUCAGUGUCAGUAACGGUCCAGGAAGUCGCCUUCGCCACUGAUGUUCCUUCCGAUAUCUACGCAUUUCACCGCUACACCGGAAAUUCCACUUCCCUCUACCGCACUCUAGUCAACCAGUUUCAAAUGCAAUUCCCAGGUUAAGCCCGGGGAUUUCACAUCUGACUUAAUUAACCACCUACGCACCCUUUACGCCCAGUAAUUCCGAUUAACGCUUGCACCCUCUGUAUUACCGCGGCUGCUGGCAC